rnacentral:rRNA from 1 species
GACGUCAAGUCAUCAUGGCCCUUAUGUCCAGGGCGACACACGUGCUACAAUGGCCGGCACAGGCGGGAAGCGGAGGGCGACCCUGAGCGGAUCCCUUGAAAGCCGGUCCCAGUUCGGAUUGCAGUCUGCAACUCGACUGCAUGAAGUUGGAAUCGCUAGUAAUCGCGGAUCAGCCAAGCCGCGGUGAAUACGUUCCCGGGCCUU